rnacentral:rRNA from 1 species
AAAGCACUUUGAAAAGAGGGUUAAAAAGUACGUGAAAUUGUUGAAAGGGAAGCGCUUAUGACCAGACUUGUGCCCUGCGGAUCAUCCAGCCUUCUGGCUGGUGCACUUCGCUUGGUUCAGGCCAGCAUCGGUUUUCUGAGGGGGAUAAAAGCUUCAGGGACGUGGCUCCUCCGGGAGCGUUAUAACCUGUUGCAAAAUACCCCUCGGGAGACCGAGGUUCGCGCAUCUGCAAGGAUGCUGGCGUAAUGGUCAUCAGCGGCCCGUCUUGAAACACGGACA